CAAUAUGAUGAUUGUAAUUUGUCGCCCCAGUCUAACAAGCUUCUGUAGAGAUGCUGAAUGGCGAAUGACAAUUGGAUCUGAUUC